rnacentral:rRNA from 1 species
GGCUUCGAGUGAGCUGCCUCCGGGCGCCCACCUCCCACCCGUGAAUACCUUACCACUGUUGCUUCGGCGAGGAGCCCCUUCCGGGGGGCGAGUCGCCGGGGACCACAUGAACUUCUUGAUUGUAGAGUUGCGUCUGAGCCUGAAAUAUAAAUCAGUCAAAACUUUCAACAAUGGAUCUCUUGGUUCCGGCAUCGAUGAAGAACGCAGCGAACUGCGAUAAGUAAUGUGAAUUGCAGAAUUCAGUGAAUCAUCGAGUCUUUGAACGCACAUUGCGCCCCCUGGCAUUCCGGGGGGCAUGCCUGUCCGAGCGUCAUUGCUGCCCUUCAAGCCCGGCUUGUGUGUUGGGUCGUCGUCCCCUCCGGGGGACGGGCCCGAAAGGCAGCGGCGGCACCGCGUCCGGUCCUCGAGCGUAUGGGGCUUUGUCACCCGCUCGAUAAGGACCGGCCGGGCGCCAGCCGGCGUCUCCAACCUUUUUUUCUCAGGUUGACCUCGGAUCAGGUAGGGAUACCCGCUGAACUUAAGCAUAUCAAUAAGCGGAGGAA